rnacentral:tRNA from 1 species
GGCGUUAUAGUGUAGUGGUUAUCACUUGGGAUUUUGAUGACACGAUUUCCCGUAACCCAGGUUCGAACCCUGGUAACGCCU